AGUGAACGCUGGCGGCAGGCCUAACACAUGCAAGUCGAACGGCAGCACAGUAAGAGCUUGCUCUUACGGGUGGCGAGUGGCGGACGGGUGAGGAAUACAUCGGAAUCUACUUUUUCGUGGGGGAUAACGUAGGGGAAGCUUACGCUAAUACCGCUAACGACCUACGGGUGAAACAAGGGUAUCUUCGGCCUUUGCGCGAUUGAAUAGGCGGAUGUCGGAUUAGCUAGUUGGCGGGGUAAAGGCCCACCAAGGCGACAACCCGUAGCUGGUCUGAGAGGAUGAUCAGCCACACUGGAACUGAGACACGGUCCAGACUCCUACGGGAGGCAGCAGUGGGGAAUAUUGGACAAUGGGCGAAAGCCUGAUCCAGCCAUACCGCGUGAGUGAAGAAGGCCUUCGGGUUGUAAAGCCCUUUUGUUGGGAAAGAAAAGCAGCAGGUUAAUACCCCGCUGUUCUGACGGUACCCAAAGAAUAAGCACCGGCUAACUUCGUG
rnacentral:rRNA from 1 species